UUGCUUGCUUCAGCAGCACAUAUACUAAAAUUGGAAUGAUACAGAGGAGGGUGGCAUGGCCCCUGAGCAAGGAUGACAUGCAAAUUCAUGAAACGUUACAUAUUUUU
rnacentral:snRNA from 1 species